rnacentral:rRNA from 1 species
UACCAGCACCCCGAGUGGUCGGGACGAUUAUUGGGCCUAAAGCAUCCGUAGCCGGUCCUGCAAGUCUUCCGUUAAAUCCAGCUGCUCAACAGAUGGGCUGCGGAGGAUACUACAGGGCUAGGAGGCGGGAGAGGCAAGCGGUACUUUAUGGGUAGGGGUAAGAUCCGUUGAUCCAUAGAAGACCACCAGUGGCGAAGGCGGCUUGCCAGAACGCGCUCGACGGUGAGGGAUGAAAGCUGGGGGAGCAAACCGG